rnacentral:lncRNA from 1 species
CUUAGAUCAGAAGAACAAUGACCACUAAGGUCUAAUGACCGUAGACCAUAAUGAUAACGACCCCCAUGAGUACUCCACAAUGGCUCAGUGGGCAGAGGUUGGGACAUUCGAAGUCUCUGUAAUUUUUAUAAUGAUGUUCCGUCCCUCUUGCACCUCACAUUUCUAGAUGAAAGCUCUAAGAGUAAGUGAGGGAUGACUGGAAAAACGUAAAGAUACUUGAAGAAGACAUAACAAUUUUGUGACCAUGGAGGGAAAGCAACAACUUAGACAUCUGGAAAGGGAGCAUCUUAAACCCUGGAAGGUUCAGAGAAAGAAGGAGCUUCACACUAGAACCUUCCUCAUGAAGGAAACACUACAGUGUAGAUCUCCCAAGAACCUUAAAUUUAGCUGACCAGUGAGGUCUUCCAUCCCCUGUUGGUUGUCUCUGACUAGAAUUUGCUCACAAUUCUCCUCACGGAGAAGUCCAUCAGAAACAGCAUGCAAAACCUCCUGAACCUCCCAUGCAAAAUACCUAUUAAUAUCUCCUGGUGUCUUCCCUUCCCUCUCCCCUAGUCUAAAUCAUUCCAUGGGGCAGAAAAAUGCCACCUGGCUACCAGUGUAGACAAACAGGAAAGAUCAAACUGACUGUCCUCAGUCAUUCUUUCUGAAAUCAAGGACUAUGCUCACUAUGAAAACUGAAUGGGAACCAUAAGGCUUAGCAGCCAGCCAGAAGACCACAUUGGAGGGACUGUCAACCUCUUCUCUGUGACCAAUAGGAAAGAUCAAGAAUAUUACUGAUGUGAGGGUCAUUUUUCCUCGCAACUUCUCCUGAAGCAGUAGGUGAGCUCUUUCAAGGUCUGUCCCGCACGAGGUGGG